GACGAACGCUGGCGGCGUGCUUAACACAUGCAAGUCGAACGGAAAGGCCCUGCUUUUGUGGGGUGCUCGAGUGGCGAACGGGUGAGUAACACGUGAGUAACCUGCCCUUGACUUUGGGAUAACUUCAGGAAACUGGGGCUAAUACCGGAUAGGAGCUCCUGCUGCAUGGUGGGGGUUGGAAAGUUUCGGCGGUUGGGGAUGGACUCGCGGCUUAUCAGCUUGUUGGUGGGGUAGUGGCUUACCAAGGCUUUGACGGGUAGCCGGCCUGAGAGGGUGAACGGCCACAAUGGGACUGAGAUACGGCGCAGACUCCUACGGGAGGCAGCAGUGGGGAAUAUUGCACAAUGGGCGGAAGCCUGAUGCAGCAACGCCGCGUGCGGGAUGACGGCCUUCGGGUUGUAAACCGCUUUCGCCUGUGACGAAGCGUGAGUGACGGUAAUGGGUAAAGAAGCACCGGCUAACUACGUG
rnacentral:rRNA from 1 species